GACUCAGUCCUGUGCGGCGAAGACCCGUGAACCCUGUCAGAUCCGGAAGGAAGCAGCAGUAAACGGUGCUCUUCGGGUGCCAUGGGGUCGCUGGGUUCCC
rnacentral:SRP_RNA from 1 species